rnacentral:tRNA from 1 species
CAGCUGGUAGUUUAAGAUUAAAAUUUUAAUUUUGGAUAUUAGAGAUACAUAGUUGUUUAGCUGA